AAGGUAGCAUAAUAAAUUGACUUUUAAUUGAAGUCUUGAAUGAAUGGAUAUAUGGAUAUAGACUGUCUUAAUUAAAUAUUUUUAAGUUAAUUAAGAGGUGAAAAUUCCUUUUUAAUUUAAUAGACGAGAAGACCCUAGGAGUUUUUUUGUUGGGGCAACAUUAUAACAUAUUAUUUAUAUAAUAGAUUAUAUAUAACGAUAAUUUUAUUUAAAAGUAAACUACCCUAGGGAUAACAGCAUAAAGUUUGUGACCUCGAUGUUGGACUAGGAAUUACAGUAUUAGUUAUAUUGUUUGUUUGUUCUGUUCGAACAUUACACCU
rnacentral:rRNA from 1 species